rnacentral:rRNA from 1 species
UGGGGAAUCUUGCACAAUGGGCGAAAGCCUGAUGCAGCCAUGCCGCGUGAAUGAUGAAGGCCUUAGGGUUGUAAAAUUCUUUCAACGGUGACGAUAAUGACGGUAACCGUAGAAGAAGCCCCGGCUAACUUCGUGCCAGCAGCCGCGGUAAUACGAAGGGGGCUAGCGUUGUUCGGAAUUACUGGGCGUAAAGCGCGCGUAGGCGGACUUUUAAGCCAGAUGUGAAAUCCCGAGGCUCAACCUCGGAACUGCAUUUGGAACUGGGAGUCUAGAGGUCAGGAGAGGUUCGUGGAAUGCCGAGUGUAGAGGUGAAAUUCGUAGAUAUUCGGUGGAACACCAGUGGCGAAGGCGACGAACUGGACUGAUACUGACGCUGAGGUGCGAAAGUGUGGGGAGCAAACA